ensembl:lncRNA
UGAGGGGAAAACAGCCUGAAGCGCCGGCUUUAGUAUCUCGCUCUUUCUUCCUUUAUGAGGUCUGUCUGAGAGUGUCUUGUUCGGCUGGUGUCUGGCACUGACUGUGAGGAUGAGGAUGAUGAUGAUGAAGGUGAGAGGUUGGCGCACGCUUCGGCGGCGCGGAUUGGCUAUAGACGGUGUAGCGGGUACCGAGCCGUGAAAUACAGCAUCACAAGCGAGAGUGCAAGUGAGACUUCGUUACCUCGGGCGGUAAAGGGCCUACAAAAGAUGUUUACUUAUUCAAGUCAUUAGCUUUGACCAAAGAAAAUACAGUUCAACUUGACUCGAGAACAAUUUUUUCUGUUGACUUUUAUUUGACUUAAUAUACUAACUUAUUUAUCCAGACGUUUCGUUACUUUUGCGCCUGAACAACAUGCCCAAUUCGCGAACGAAUGUUUUGAAUGAAUCAUUUGAGUCGAUUCUUUUCUAUUUACCUGUGACACGGGUCUGCAAAGCGGUCUGAACAAUUAGUUUUGUGAAUCGUGAAUCUGAAUCAAAUCACAAGAGAAGCACUCCGGAACACGUAAUGGGAUGAAGAGACUGCUCAUACGUUUCGACAAGCUCGCAGCUCGGACCGGGUCAACGGCACGUCCUGUUAAAGCACUCAGUGUACCCUGUUCUCCAUCCAGCUGUGCUGUAAUGCACUUCUGAGCUGGUGGGAUCGGACCGAAGCUCUGCUCAAUAGCAGCAGGAUUUGGGGGAUUGUACAAGGAUCUCGGCAAGGAGUGAAAUCCGUGGUUCUUUGAGACAGCUCAGAGGAAUGGAUCCAGGCAAAGGCAAAUCGGACAUCAGAGUGUGUCUUCAACAUAUUCACCUCCUAACCGGCACGUACAGAAUGGAUGCUUCACAAGGACAACCGGAUUAGAAGGGAUGGGAGGAAGCUGUUGCAUUUGAUGUGCAGUAAAUCUCACAUCUCCCAAAUUGUGAUAUUUCAAGCAAGGCCUCGGUUUGAAGACGAGAGGAAGGAUAAACAAAAGCAUUAAAUGUCUGCUUGCUGAGAACCUCAUCAAGGCUUCCUAUUCCAUUUGUCACAUCUGCUUUGUUUUCUGAAGGGGAGUCUAAAUAAAUCUUUCUCAGACUUUUCUGUCCA